rfam:Angiostrongylus cantonensis strain Taiwan genome assembly, scaffold: ACAC_contig0000539
CAUCUCUGGCUGCGGUGCAUUUAACCGAGAAAGUCUUUCGCCUUUUACUAAAGAUUUCCGUGCACUGGAGCAAUCAUGAGUAUUUGCCAAUUUUUGCAAUCCCCUCGAAAGAGCGGGAU